AUGUCCACAAUCCAAACUCUACAGAAUUCAGCUCGCCAGUUCAGAAUCCCAAAAUCUACUGGCAGCUACAGCAGUUCACUCGUUCAGAAUCAACCUCAGUACGACACCAAAAUCAAACAGCUUGUGGAAGCAGCACGCACCGACAAUUCGUCGAGCGGCUUGGGCGCGUCGCGCCCGGCCGCGGACGCGGCACCGGCAGCGGCCGGCUUGGCCCGCGAGAGGUCGGCGUUGCCGGGGGACGCGACGAGCGCGGCGAUGCGCUUGCAGGCGGCCUGGAUGUGGGCGACGAGGACGGCGAGGUCGGCGGGCGCGCCGGUCCGGCCCAUGUGCUCGAGCAGCGUGGGGUGCGAGCCGUGCGACGCCAUGCCGUCCCCGGCGAGGAGUUCGCUGCGGCGGACUGCGCGGGGGCGGGAGCGGGAGGGAGGCGGCGGCGGGCGGUGGUGGCGGCGGUUUGAAGUUGGCGGGAGCGGGAGCGGGAGUGGGAGGGGAGGGCGGAGUGUGUGA
rnacentral:rRNA from 1 species